GAUGAACGCUAGCGGGAGGCCUAAUACAUGCAAGUCGAACGGUAACAGGUAGCAAUACGCUGACGAGUGGCGCACGGGUGCGUAACGCGUACACAAUCUGCCUUAUACUGGGGCAUAGCCUUUGGAAACGAAGAAUAAUUCCCCAUAAUAUAUAGAAGAGGCAUCUCUUUCAUAUUAAAGCUCAGGCGGUAUAAGAUGAGUGUGCGUCCGAUUAGGUAGUUGGUGAGGUAACGGCUCACCAAGCCAACGAUCGGUAGCUGGUCUGAGAGGAUGAUCAGCCACACGGGCACUGAGACACGGGCCCGACUCCUACGGGAGGCAGCAGUAGGGAAUAUUGGACAAUGGGCGCAAGCCUGAUCCAGCCAUCCCGCGUGAAGGAUGAAGGUCCUCUGGAUUGUAAACUUCUUUUCUUCGGGAAUAAAAACUGGGGUUCUCCUCAGCUUGAAGGUACCGAAGGAAUAAGCACCGGCUAACUCCGUGCCAGCAG
rnacentral:rRNA from 1 species